rnacentral:rRNA from 1 species
AACGAACGCUGGCGGCAUGCCUAACACAUGCAAGUCGAACGAAGCCUUCGGGCUUAGUGGCGCACGGGUGCGUAACGCGUGGGAAUCUGCCCUUGGGUUCGGAAUAACAGUUAGAAAUGACUGCUAAUACCGAAUGAUGUCUUCGGACCAAAGAUUUAUCGCCCAAGGAUGAGCCCGCGUCGGAUUAGCUGGUUGGUGAGGUAAAGGCUCACCAAGGCGACGAUCCGUAGCUGGUCUGAGAGGAUGAUCAGCCACACUGGGACUGAGACACGGCCCAGACUCCUACGGGAGGCAGCAGUGGGAAUAUUGGACAAUGGGCGAAAGCCUGAUCCAGCAAUGCCGCGUGAGUGAUGAAGGCCUUAGGGUUGUAAAGCUCUUUUACCCGGGAUGAUAAUGACGGUACCGGGAGAAUAAGCCCCGGCUAACUCCGUGCCAGCAGCCGCGGUAAU